GACGAACGCUGGCGGCGUGCUUAACACAUGCAAGUCGAACGGAAAGGCCCUGCUUGCAGGGUGCUCGAGUGGCGAACGGGUGAGUAACACGUGGGUGCUCUGCCCCUUACUUUGGGAUAAGCCUGGAAAACUGGGUCUAAUACUGGAUAGGACCAUGCUGUAGGUGGUGUGGUGGAAAGAUUAUUUUCGGUAAGGGAUGAGCUCGCGGCCUAUCAGCUUGUUGGUGGGGUAAUGGCCUACCAAGGCGUCGACGGGUAGCCGGCCUGAGAGGGUGGGCGGCAACAUUGGGACUGCGAUACGGCCCAGACUCCUACGGGAGGCAGCAGUGGGGAAUAUUGCACAACGGGCGCAAGCCGGAUGCAGCGACGCCGCGUGGGGGAUGACGGCCUUCGGGUUGUAAACUCCUUUCAGCCAUGACGAAGCCCUUGUGGUGACGGUAGUGGUAGAAGAAGCACCGGCUAACUACGUG
rnacentral:rRNA from 1 species